GAUGAACGCUGGCGGCGUGCUUAACACAUGCAAGUCGAGCGAAGCACUUUUGCGGAUUUCUUCGGAUUGAAGCAAUUGUGACUGAGCGGCGGACGGGUGAGUAACGCGUGGGUAACCUGCCUCAUACAGGGGGAUAACAGUUGGAAACGGCUGCUAAUACCGCAUAAGCGCACAGUACCGCAUGGUACCGUGUGAAAAACUCCGGUGGUAUGAGAUGGACCCGCGUCUGAUUAGCUAGUUGGUGGGGUAACGGCCUACCAAGGCGACGAUCAGUAGCCGACCUGAGAGGGUGACCGGCCACAUUGGGACUGAGACACGGCCCAAACUCCUACGGGAGGCAGCAGUGGGGAAUAUUGCACAAUGGGGGAAACCCUGAUGCAGCGACGCCGCGUGAGCGAUGAAGUAUUUCGGUAUGUAAAGCUCUAUCAGCAGGGAAGAAAAU
rnacentral:rRNA from 1 species